GGUUAUCAAGGGUAUCCACAGUAUGGAUGGCAGAAUGCACCACCACCUCCUGGACCAGUCUAUGCUGAUGGACCAAAAAACACAGAUGGUGCUACCGUAACAGUUUACCCAGAGGUGAAGAAGUGACUGUAAACACUGUCACAUGCUGAUUUCCCAGAAUAGAUUUGUAUGUUGUAGAAGAGCGAAGAAGGGAUGACACAGGAGAGAGUACCUGUCUGACAGCAUGCUGGACUGCUCUGUGCUGCUGCUGCCUUU